rnacentral:tRNA from 1 species
UAGUCUAGUGGUUAAGGCUAUGGAUUGCCAAUCCGGAGACAACGGGUUCGACUCCCGU